GCACUCUUCAAUUUUUGGUAGUACACUCAAAUCAACACAUCAAUGCAAGUCAACAAUAAUUUUGCAAGUAAUCUAAGAAUUCAUUCGGUUCACUUUGUGCACACACAUUAGAGGUCUUUAGGGUUAUAACGUGGCUUGNNNNNNNNNNNNNNNNNNNNNNNNNNNACAUUUUGGAUAAGUAGUAGAAAAACUUGGAGUUAGAUCCCCCUAAGGUCAACAAAAUUUCAUAAACCAAACCCCCUUUUGAACUAUAGUGGACUAGAGAACUUUUUCAUAUCAACAAUCAAAGUUUUGCAAUUCUUUGAAUUCAAGGCUAUCACUUCUUUUGUACUUCUUUUCUAUUUUUCUUUCACAAACAUCUCUUUUUUCAUUUUCAUUUUUUUUCUUUGCCUUGCAAAAUUUAAAAUUUUUUUCUCAAUUUUUCAAAUCAAAACUUUUUGUAAGUUCUCUAGUACCCUCACCCCAAACUUUAUUUGUUGCUAAUUCCAAAGAGCAACCCCAAACUUAGUAGUGAGCAAUGCGCAUCAACCACUAAUUAGGUGCCUAACCUCCAAGAAAGUCAUUCCUUUUUUCAUCAAAAAUUUCUUAAGGUUUUGCAAAAAUCAUUUAUUUUUUCAGCUCAAAUUGGUUAAGCAAAGGAUAAUUAUAAGUACGGGUGGAUAGAAAGGCUCAAAGGUACCAAGAAACAUGCCUCGUGUGUGCUACAAAAGUACCAAUCAAAUACAAAGAUGACAAGCAAAAUCGAGAGACAAUACACGAGNN
rnacentral:lncRNA from 1 species